CUUUAAUAUUAAAUUAAUAUUAUAUGUUAAUUAUAAAUAUUAUAUGUUUCCAAAUUUAACCUAUUAACUGGAAGAUUAAAAGAUAUUAACCCAUUGAGCCACAAUGCACCCUACUUAUACAAAAAUAUGACAAUGUCUCUAGUUACGUACCAUUGAGAUGCAGUUCCCCCCACUUAAUUUUUUUACUGGUCUAAAUGCCAGAUGAUUUUACUCAUCAGUCGGGAAGCUAUGCAGCUUAAUGGGUUAAAGAGUAUUUGCAUGAUUUUUUUUUUUUUUUUUUUAUUU